UACAGAGGUGGCAAGCGUUGUUCGGAAUUACUGGGCGUAAAGGGCGCGUAGGCGGUCAGGUCAGUCCCGUGUGAAAUCCCUCGGCUCAACUGAGGAACUGCACGGGAAACUGCCUGGCUUGAGUUCGGGAGAGGGAAGCGGAAUUCCGGGUGUAGCGGUGAAAUGCGUAGAUAUCCGGAGGAACACCGGUGGCGAAGGCGGCUUUCUGGGCCUUACCUGACGCUGAGACGCGAAAGCGUGGGGAGCGAACCGG
rnacentral:rRNA from 1 species